rnacentral:rRNA from 1 species
AUUGAACGCUGGCGGCAUGCCUUACACAUGCAAGUCGAACGGUAACAGGUCUUCGGAUGCUGACGAGUGGCGAACGGGUGAGUAAUACAUCGGAACGUGCCUAGUAGUGGGGGAUAACUACUCGAAAGAGUGGCUAAUACCGCAUGAGAUCUACGGACGAAAGCAGGGGAUCGCAAGACCUUGUGCUACUAGAGCGGCCGAUGGCAGAUUAGGUAGUUGGUGGGAUAAAAGCUUACCAAGCCGACGAUCUGUAGCUGGUCUGAGAGGACGAUCAGCCACACUGGGACUGAGACACGGCCCAGACUCCUACGGGAGGCAGCAGUGGGGAAUUUUGGACAAUGGGCAAAAGCCUGAUCCAGCAAUGCCGCGUGCAGGAUGAAGGCCUUCGGGUUGUAAACUGCUUUUGUACGGAACGAAAAGCCCUGGGUUAAUACCCUGGGGUCAUGACGGUACCGUAAGAAUAAGCACCGGCUAACUACGUGCCAGCCGCCGCCGUAA